GGUUAGGGUCUACAUUGAGAGAAACCUUUAUUGCUGUACUGAGAAGUUGAGACUGCAUUCUGAAAGGAGCAUUGAGUAGAUCAAUGAGAUGACUGGAUCUGUGCCUUAAGAAAAUAAUCAGCUAUAGUGUGCUAGACGGAUUGAAGGCAAGGGUGCUAGAGACAGCAGGAGCUGUCUGAGCUGCUACAAUAGCCCAGGCAAAUGAUAAAGCAAAACCGAAUUAGGGUUGAGGCAGUCG
rnacentral:lncRNA from 10 species